rnacentral:lncRNA from 1 species
UUCACAAAUAAUUUGUCGAUAUGUUGUUGUAUUUGUAAGUGCGUCAGUAAUUGAAUGAGUUACCCCCUCGAUAUAUAAACAACUCUCCACAGAGUGCUUCAAAUUCAUCAGUCUUCUACCUUGCUUUGGACUCUUCAACUCAAUUGAGUUUGAUGUCUAUUCAGAGUUCUUUUUCAACUCAACCUUCAAAGUCCAAGUCCUCUUUCAACUCAAACUCCUUAACUGAGUGAAACUCUUUCUUGAGUUUAUCUUCCAGUGUUUUACUUGAUCACCACUUCUUACUCAAUCACCGUUUCACACGUGGUUAAUCAAUAGAGCUUAUCCAUUCCCGUCUUCAAGCGAUCUUGUUUGUGUCCUCUUAGUGAGAUUUGACCUCUGUCUUCAUGUGAUUGAACCAGCUUGAGUGACAUAUUUCAUUUAUAUGUCAAUUAUCAAAACUUCAUUGAUCUAACAAGUUUCAUCAGAGAUAAAUCUUAUCUAUGUGUUGUAUAACUUUACUUUUAGUUCUUAGAAAAAAGUGAUUCAACUGUAAGCAAGG